ensembl:lncRNA
GUGUUCACGUGUACUUUCUGCCGAUGUGUUGGCUACUGGCCGGUUGAGAGAUGGUGUUUUUAUUUACCCCCACCCCCCCCCUCCCAGCUGUCACUGUUGUGUCUGGACCGUGUUUUCUGGGACACUUGGAGAUCGGUCAGAUCCAAACCCCCCCCCAACCGCCCCCUCGGCCCAAACUAUGCAGAACACUCAAACACACCCAGGAACGAGAGAGAGACAUCCAGGAAAUGUGCAACCUUCAUCUGACUUUAAAUCGGAGCAGCAAUAAAUACUGUUUCCAUCGAUAGUUUUAUUUGGUCAUGUAUUCAAAGAACACAAAUCCCGGGCUCAUCCCGGGCGGAUUAACCAGAUUCCUCCUGGUAAGUUUUAAUGUUAAAGUUAAAUUCUAACAGAAAACAUUAAACUAUGAGUACCGUGAAUCCUUCAGUGUCUUGUGUUAAUACAAAAAAAAGACGAAUAAACAAAUAUGUUUUAUUUCCCGCAUUUACAGGAAAUAAAACAUAUUUGUUUAUUUGUAUUAUACAGUAUAAAUACUUGGUGUAAAACUCAUAUAACCUGAUUUAAAUGUCUAAUCACAUGAAAACAGAGUUAAAAGGUCUCAUUGAUACAGACUUCGCCCCUGAGUGUAAUAUUAUUACUUCAAUAAACAUCUCCAGCAAUGUUCCAUUCCGAAUGUCAAGUGUGCUGAUUGAGCUCCAGUCCGGACAUGCAGCUCGUUCUUUAAGUAUGAAAAUCACCCGAACUGGCAUGAACUCAACACCGGAGGAGCGUCACUCUCCGCUGCACAUGUCAGAUAGUUUGAGAGGGUGAGUCUACGUUGCUCCGCGUUGCCGUGUUAAAUAGUCUGCGUUAGAUAGUCUGCGUUAGAUAGUCUGCAUUGCCACGUUAGAUAGUCUGCGUUAGAUAGUCUGCGUUUCCGUGUUAGAUAGUCUGCGUUAGAUAGUCUGCAUUGCCACGUUAGAUAGUCUGCGUAAGAUAGUCUGCAUUGCCGUGUUAGAGAGUCUGCGUUAGAUAGUCAGCGUUUCCGUGUUAGAUAGUCUGCGUUAGAUAGUCUGCAUUGCCACGUUAGAUAGUCUGCGUAAGAUAGUCUGCAAGAUAGUCUGCAUUGCCGUGUUAGAUAGUCUGCGUUAGAUAAUGUGCGUUGCUGCGUUAGAUAGUCUGCAUUGCCACGUUAGAUAGUCUGCGUAAGAUAGUCUGCGUUGCCGUGUUAGUCUGCGUUAAAUAGUCUGCAUUGCCGUGUUAGAUAGUCUGCGUUAGAUGGCCUGCAUUGCCGUGUUAGAUAGUCUGCGUUGCUGCAUUAGAUAGUCUGCGUUGCCGUGUUUAGAUUGUCGGCGUUGCUGCGUUAGAUAGUCUGCGUUGCUGCGUUAGAUCGUCUGCGUUGCCUUGUUUAGAUAGUCUGCGUUGCCGUGUUAGAUAGUGUGCGUUAGAUAG